CGACGGGGGAGAUUCAAUGCCUCGCCGGUGCUGGCCGCUUAGCGACGUUCAGGGACGUCAUGCGGUUUCGGCCGUUUAACGCUCCGUCGUUGAGUUGUUGUUCAGUGCCGGAGGUAUGCACUUCUCCCCUUGUAGGACGUCGCGACCCGUUGGGUGCUGGUCUAAGGCCUGCGUGGUAGACCGUGGCGGUGCGUUCGCGUAUCGACCCGGACCCGCGGUGUCCCGGCCGGCCGCCCGACGGUAUGACUUGUGGUGUUGGGUCGCUGCCCAUUCGUGUGGCGAGCGUUCUAGCUCACGGCAAGUGUAUACGUGGACCGUAGAAAUCGGACCUAGUGCCGGUUCUGCACCCGUGUCACUGUUGGCUGUGAUGCUCUAGAACCGAUCCCGGCAUCCGUCAGCGACGCUUCAGCUUUGGGUAAUUUCAGGACCCGUCUUGAAACACGGACCAAGGAGUCUAGCAUGUGCGCGAGUCAUUGGGACUCAAUAAACCUAAAGGCGCAAUGAAAGUGAAAGUCUGUUUACGCGGACUUAGGGAGGAUAGGUGCGUACACAUCUGUGUACAACCUCGCACUCCCGGGGCGUCUCGCACUCA
rnacentral:rRNA from 1 species